GUAGGUGGCAAGCGUUGUCCGGAAUUAUUGGGCGUAAAGCGCGCGCAGGCGGUCCUUUAAGUCUGAUGUGAAAGCCCACGGCUCAACCGUGGAGGGUCAUUGGAAACUGGGGGACUUGAGUACAGAAGAGGAAAGCGGAAUUCCAAGUGUAGCGGUGAAAUGCGUAGAGAUUUGGAGGAACACCAGUGGCGAAGGCGGCUUUCUGGUCUGUAACUGACGCUGAGGCGCGAAAGCGUGGGGAGCAAACAGGAUUAGAUACCCUAGUAGUCCACGCCGUAAACGAUGAGUGCUAAGUGUUAGGGGGUUUCCCGCCCCCCUUAGUGCUGCAGCUAACGCAUUAAGCACUCCGCCUGGGGAGUACGGCCGCAAGGCUG
rnacentral:rRNA from 1 species